GUGGGGAAUCUUGCGCAAUGGGCGAAAGCCUGACGCAGCCAUGCCGCGUGGAUGAUGAAGGUCUUAGGAUUGUAAAAUCCUUUCACCGGUGAAGAUAAUGACUGUAGCCGGAGAAGAAGCCCCGGCUAACUUCGUGCCAGCAGCCGCGGUAAUACGAAGGGGGCUAGCGUUGCUCGGAUUUACUGGGCGUAAAGGGCGCGUAGGCGGACAUUUAAGUCAGGGGUGAAAUCCCGGGGCUCAACCUCGGAACUGCCUUUGAUACUGGGUGUCUUGAGUACGGGAGAGGUGAGUGGAACUCCGAGUGUAGAGGUGAAAUUCGUAGAUAUUCGGAAGAACACCAGUGGCGAAGGCGACUCACUGGCCCGUUACUGACGCUGAGGCGCGAAAGCGUGGGGAGCAAACAGGAUUAGAUACCCCGGUAGUCC
rnacentral:rRNA from 1 species